CCUACGGGAGGCUGCAGUGGGGAAUAUUGGGCAAUGGGCGCAAGCCUGACCCAGCAACGCCGCGUGAAGGAAGAAGGCUUUCGGGUUGUAAACUUCUUUUCUGAGAGACGAAGAAAGUGACGGUACCUCAGGAAUAAGCCACGGCUAACUACGUGCCAGCAGCCGCGGUAAUACGUAGGUGGCAAGCGGUCUCCGGAUUUAUUGGGUGUAAAGUGCGUGUAGGCGGGAAAGCAAGUCAGAUGUGAACACUCAUGGAUCAACCCUGAACCUGCAUUUGAAACUGUGUUUCUUGAGUGCUGGAGAGGCGAUCGGAAUUCCGUGUGUAGCGGUGAAAUGCGUAGAUAUACGGAGGAACACCAGUGGCGAAGGCGGAUUGCUGGACAGUAACUGACGCUGAGGCGCGAAAGCGUGGGGAGCAAACAGGAUUAGAUACCCUUGUAGUC
rnacentral:rRNA from 1 species